rnacentral:rRNA from 1 species
GACAGAGGGUGCAACCGUUGCUCGGAAUCACUGGGCGUAAAGGGCGUGUAGGCGGGAAUGUAAGUCGGGCGUGAAAGCCCCAGGCUCAACCUGGGAACUGCACUCGAAACUGCGUUUCUUGAGUAUCGGAGAGGAAAGCGGAAUACCUGGUGUAGAGGUGAAAUUCGUAGAUAUCAGGUGGAACACCAGUGGCGAAGGCGGCUUUCUGGACGAUUACUGACGCUGAGACGCGAAAGCGUGGGGAGCAAACGGG